AUUGAACGCUGGCGGCAGGCCUAACACAUGCAAGUCGAACGAGUGGCGGACGGGUGAGUAAUGUCUGGAAACCUGCCUGAUGGAGGGGGAUAACUACUGGAAACGGUAGCUAAUACCGCCUACCAUCAGUUGUUCCCAGAUUGGAUUAGCUUGUGGGUGGGGUAACGGCUCACCAGGGCGACGAUCCCUAGCUGGUCUGAGAGGAUGACCAGCCACACUGGAACUGAGACACGGUCCAGACUCCUACGGGAGGCAGCAGUGGGGAAUAUUGCACAAUGGGCGCAAUCCUGAUGCAGCCAGGCCGCGUGUAGGAAGAAGGCCUUCGGGUGGUAAAGUACUUUCAGCGGGGAGGCGUUACCCGCAGAAGAAGCACCGGCUAACUCCGUGCCAGCAGCCGCGGUAAUUC
rnacentral:rRNA from 1 species